rnacentral:rRNA from 1 species
AGAGUUUGAUCCUGGCUCAGAACGAACGCUGGCGGCGUGCCUAACACAUGCAAGUCGAACGGAAUGAGGGGCUUGCUCCUCAUUUAGUGGCGCACGGGUGAGUAACGCGUAGAUAAUCUGCCUGAUGAUCUGGAAUAACACUUCGAAAGGGGUGCUAAUACCGGAUAAGCCCACGAUGACUUUGGUCGUUGCGGGAAAAG